AGAGUUUGAUUCUGGCUCAGAACGAACGCUGGCGGCGUGGAUAAGACAUGCAAGUCGGACGCUUGUAUUUUUGUAGCAAUAUGAGGAUACGGGAGUGGCGAAAGGGUGCGUAACACGUGGGUAAUUUGUCUGAGAGUUCAGGAUAAUUCGCUGAAAGGCGGAGUAAUACUGGAUGUGGAUAUUGGUUGGGAACAGCUGAUAUCUAAAGCCGGGGACCGCAAGGCCUGGUGCUCUUAGGUAAGCCCGCGACCUAUCAGCUAGUUGGUGAGGUAAGAGCCCACCAAGGCGGAGACGGGUAGCUGGUCUGAGAGGACGACCAGCCACACUGGAACUGAGACACGGUCCAGACACCUACGGGUGGCAGCAGUCGAGAAUUUUUCUCAAUGGGGGAAACCCUGAAGGAGCGACGCCGCGUGGGGGAUGAAGGGCUUCGGCUCGUAAACCCCUGUCAUUUGUGAGCAAGUGUUAUUGUUUAAGAGAUGAUGACAUUGAUAGUAGCAAAAGAGGAAGGGACGGCUAACUCUGUGCCAGCAGCCGCGGUAAUACAGAGGUCCCAAGCGUUGUUCGGAAUCACUGGGCGUAAAGGGUGCGUAGGCGGUAUAGUAAGACUUGGGUGAAAUCUCCAUGCUUAACGUGGAGGGAGCCUGGGAGACUGCUGUGCUAGAGGAUUGGAAGGGAGACUGGAAUUCUUGGAGUAGCAGUGAAAUGCGUAGAUAUCAAGAGGAACACCAGUGGCGAAGGCGAGUCUCUGGACAAGACCUGACGCUGAGGCACGAAGGCCAGGGGAUCAAACGGGAUUAGAUACCCCGGUAGUCCUGGCAGUAAACGGUGCACACUUGCUGUGUGAGGGAUCGACCCCUUACGUGGCGAAGCAAACGCGAUAAGUGUGCCGCCUGGGGAGUACGGUCGCAAGACUAAAACUCAAAGGAAUUGACGGGGGCCCGCACAAGCAGCGGAGCAUGUGGUUUA
rnacentral:rRNA from 1 species